rnacentral:rRNA from 1 species
GCACGAAGUCGGAAUUGCUAGUAAUCGUAGGUCAGCAUACUACGGUGAAUACGUUCCCGGGCCUUGUACACACCGCCCGUCAAACCAUGAGAGUUGGCAACACCCGAAGUCGGUAGUCUAACCGCAAGGAGGACGCCGCCGAAGGUGGGGGUUGAUGAUUAGGGUUAAGUCGUAACAAGGUAGC